GAAGACCUUAAGCAGAAAAUGGAGGACCUGAGGGCAGACUAGAAAUAUGAAAAGCGACAGAGGAUUAAAGCAGAGAAGGACCUCAAGGAGUGGAAAGAGAUAAAAAAUAUUCUGAACCAUAUGAAAGGAGCAGUGAGGAAUCUUGAGGAUCUGCAACAGAAAGGGCCCAUGGGGGCUACACGGCGGCCAUGGAUAGACAUGGCCCGAUGACGAGAGAGAAGGAGACACCAUUGAGGUGCACAACCCUUGUGUGCAUGACACUGCCAACCCAACCACAGACACAUCCCUUGGAGCAAAACUCUUGUUUCCUGACCGAACAGACAGUUCUGG